rnacentral:lncRNA from 10 species
UGCAAUAAACCUUGAAUAAGUCAUAAUUGACAAAAAAUGUGAGUUAUUUUUCAAAAAAAUUAUCUACAUUAUAAUUUCAUGAAGGAAUUCUAAUAGUAAUUUAUUUCAGUUCCCUGUGUAGUGAAAAAUGAGGUUGUAAACUCAAAACUGAGUGAGAUUUAUGAAUAGCUCAAUUGUGCUUGAAGAUAAAACUAGAUCACUAAUUUUCUAGGAGUUCUAAGUUGACAGAAUUACAGCACUCUUUUCAUAUUGCCUAACUUUGAUGUUGUCCUUUAUUUAUUUUCUUUUUUCUUGAUGUGAUUAUUUAUUGUCCAGGUGUUUGAAGCUAUUACUAACUUGAGAUUUACAGUUCCAACAGAUGGUUGAAAAGAAAAAGAUGGAUUCAACACUCCUAUAAUUGUUGUCUUACAGUUCUUUUUAAAACUAUAUAACUGAAGCUACUCUAUCAAUGCCUAUCUUUGGUACAUAUCAUCUAUCUAAAAGUAUCUAUAACCACAGUGAAUCCAUUAUUUGCAACUUCUGGCACUUAAGACCAUUUUGAAGGUCAAUCUGAUGUCUCUUUCAAGCCCGAUUUCUCACUGCUCCCAUGUUUGUGUGUUGCCCUGCAGUUAAGUGAAAAACUCACUAUUCUCUGGCCUCAUUUCACACUUUCCUCCUUACAUGGCUUUUGUUCAUUCAGCCAAUAUUCAUUUAUUGAGUACCAAGAAUUAUGCUAGCCGCUUUAGCUGCAGUAUGAAGCAAGAUAUUAACAAUUAUAGUCAUUUAUCUUAGUGAAUCUUUCAAAUGAGAAAGUAGGGAAUAUAACAUAAUGUGAUUUUUCCCCUCUUCCAAAAUGCUUUCCAUUGCUCCAUUUUAACAGCAAAGAUAUUAAGCAUUUUUCAAAAUCAACUUAUAUGGAAACUUAUCACAUAAAGUUUUGCUAUCUAGUUUCUUCUGUUACUGCUUAUUAUUGGAAUCACUAAAUUAUUGUCUGAGGACAUUCGGUACCAAUUUUGUAUCCUCAGUGGUGCCCCAGUGUGCAGUUUUGCACUUUGUAAUAGUUUAAAUAUUUGUAUGACAUUUUAAAAUAUGAUGUAAUAGGCCGGGUGCAGUGGCUCACACCUGUAAUCCCAGCACUUUGGGAGGCUGAGGUGGGUGGAUCAUCUGAGG